CCUACGGGAGGCAGCAGUCGAGAAUUUUUCUCAAUGGGGGAAACCCUGAAGGAGCGACGCCGCGUGGAGGAUGAAGGUCUUCGGAUUGUAAACUCCUGUCAUUUGGGAACAAUUGUCACCGGUUAACUGCCGGGGGCUUGAUAGUACCAGAAGAGGAAGGGACGGCUAACUCUGUGCCAGCAGCCGCGGUAAUACAGAGGUCCCAAGCGUUGUUCGGAUUCAUUGGGCGUAAAGGGUGCGUAGGUGGCGGGGUAAGUCAGGUGUGAAAUCUCGGGGCUCAACCCCGAAACUGCACUUGAUACUGCCUUGCUCGAGUACUGGAGAGGAGAUUGGAAUUUACGGUGUAGCAGUGAAAUGCGUAGAUAUCGUAAGGAAGACCAGUGGCGAAGGCGAAUCUCUGGACAGUUACUGACACUGAGGCACGAAGGCCAGGGGAGCAAACGGGAUUAGAUACCCCGGUAGUCCUGGCAGUAAACGGUGCGCGUUUGGUGUGGGAGGAUUCGACCCCUUCCGUGCCGGAGCUAACGCGUUAAACGCGCCGCCUGGGGAGUACGGUCGCAAGAUUAAAACUCAAAGAAAUUGACGGGGGCCCGCACAAGCGGUGGAGUAUGUGGCUUAAUUCGAUGCAACGCGAAGAACCUUACCUGGCCUUGACAUGCAUCUCUAAACCGGUGAAAGCCGGCGACUCUCGCAAGAGAGAAUUUGCACAGGUGCUGCAUGGCUGUCGUCAGCUCGUGUCGUGAGAUGUUGGGUUAAGUCCCGCAACGAGCGCAACCCCUGUGAACUGUUGCCACCGGCCGCAAGGCCGAGCACUCUGUUCAGACUGCCCUGUGAAACGGGGAGGAGGGUGGGGGAUGACGUCAAGUCAGCAUGGCCCUUACGGCCAGGCUGCACACGUACUACAAUGCUCAGCACAGACGAACCGAGACCGCGAGGUGGAGGAAAUCUCUAAACUGAGCCCAAUUCCGGAUCGCAGCUGCAACUCGCCUGGCGUGAAGCCGGAAUCGCUAGUAAUGCCG
rnacentral:rRNA from 1 species